CCAGUACCACUCAUAGGUGCUUAGCGACCAAGAAACUGGCUUCACAACGGAGGAGGAGCUGGAAAUGUUCUCAAAACUGUCCUGAAAGCAAGUAAUGCUUUCGGUCGUUGUCACCUUGCUGAGGAACAAGCUGCAACUUCGCUUUCUGAUUUCAUUCUCCCAGUGACAUUUUUCACACAGGCUCUGACAGAGACAGCAAUUAUAAAGACAUCCAGGUAGAGGGUUCAUUACAAACCAAGUCCAGCAGCUCGGUCCUAUUGAUUCAGCAGUAAACAAAGCCAAAGUGGACCCUCCCUUCAGGGAACCCACCUUCCACCUGGGAAGAGACGCAUUGAUGCGGUGAGAAUAAAUGUGAGUAACUCUGAAAAUGGGCGCA
ensembl:lncRNA